AUUGAACGCUGGCGGCAUGCUUUACACAUGCAAGUCGAACGGUAACAGGGUGCUUGCACCGCUGACGAGUGGCGAACGGGUGAGUAAUGCGUCGGAACGUGCCGAGUAGUGGGGGAUAACGCAGCGAAAGUUGUGCUAAUACCGCAUACGUACUGAGGUAGAAAGUGGGGGACCUUCGGGCCUCACGCUAUUCGAGCGGCCGACGUCUGAUUAGCUAGUAGGUGAGGUAAAGGCUCACCUAGGCGACGAUCAGUAGCGGGUCUGAGAGGAUGAUCCGCCACACUGGGACUGAGACACGGCCCAGACUCCUACGGGAGGCAGCAGUGGGGAAUUUUGGACAAUGGGCGAAAGCCUGAUCCAGCCAUGCCGCGUGUCUGAAGAAGGCCUUCGGGUUGUAAAGGACUUUUGUCGGGGAGGAAAUCCCCAGCGUUAAUACCGCUGGGGGAUGACAGUACCUGAAGAAUAAGAACCGGCUAACUACGUGCCAGCAGCCGCCGCAGUAA
rnacentral:rRNA from 1 species